UACAGAGGGUGCAAGCGUUGUUCGGAAUUAUUGGGCGUAAAGCGCGUGUAGGCGGCUUUGCAAGUCGGGUGUGAAAGCCCUCGGCUCAACCGAGGAAGUGCGCCCGAAACUGCAGAGCUUGAGUACCGGAGAGGAUGGCGGAAUUCCCCAAGUAGAGGUGAAAUUCGUAGAUAUGGGGAGGAACACCGGUGGCGAAGGUGGCCAUCUGGACGGAUACUGACGCUGAGACGCGAAAGCGUGGGGAGCAAACAGG
rnacentral:rRNA from 1 species